UAUAGGUAAAAGUUGCAUAGCAAGAAUGGCGGAAGAGUUAUGGGGGGAAUCAACUGUUCAAAUUAUGAAUAUCAAUUUAGAAGGAUCAGGACUCCCGACUCCCGACUGUUGAUCCAAACUCAUUGUCCCUUUUGGGAUACGUGCAGUUUUGCAAGAUGGUCAUUUUCAGAUUUCUCAAAGUGAAGUUGGAGCCUGUUAAUUAUGAUCACAACACAUGGCCUUCUAUAUCCGUGGGGGGGAGUAACUUCCUUACCAUUGAAGAUUUGAGACAAACAAUAUACAACAUAGAAAACUUGCGGGGCAUUCCUCCUGUUCGUGAUGUGGUUGCUAUUGAGAGACAUAUAAAGGAUAUAGAGAGUGCAUGUAUUUGGGGACUGAAACUUUUGCAACCGGAGCAAAGAAUUUGGUAAAUGAGAGCUAAGGAUUGUUGUCUUGACAAGGAACCCGAAGUUGAGAAGAUGAGAACUGCUUGCAAAUACUUGAGUGAUGCUUUAGAUGAUAAAGGCCAUUUGUUAACCAACUGGUAUACAAAAUGUCACUGCCCGUCAUAUCUUGACUGUAAGCUUUUCGGAGUUGCGGUGAUCAUUGAUAACUGUUUUGGGUCCACUGGCAAUUCGUAUCACGCCGAGGUUCGUGUAGCUUUGAGGGAGCACCUAAAUCUACAAGCCUAUCUUGAGCGCAUUGCCAGCUGAUCCUAAACUUGGAGUAUAGUCCUCCCAACUAUGAUUCUCUGAUGAGGGAAAAUGGUGAUUUGUUCACCGAUUUGACUAGGAAAGAAAAUCUGAUUACAAGAAGUAGCACCUCCAUUUAUCAAUAUUCCAGCAAUGAUGGUUCAAAUCCGUUAGGCUUGCCUGAGGGUGAGUACGUGCUGAAAGUGUCCUCAAUCUUUAAAUUGAACCUGGAGGCUGAUCUUGAAAUGCACAAAGCGUUGCUACACAAAUGUUUCCUCGGACUAGAAGGGUAUGGCCAAGUGGAUUCUGGUAAUGAUACAUUAAUGUUCAUGGUUUACCGCCGAAUGAAAAAGGGGGAUCUACAUGCACUUAUCCCAGCAUUGGAAUGGAGCACAAUAUUUAAGUUGUUGAGGCAAAUCGCGUAUGCCUUACAUAUAGCGCACACCAGUAACAAGAUUUUGUGCGAUUUGAAACCAGCUAAUAUUUUGGUUGAUGACGAUGGUUCUGUGCUUCUAUGCGACUUCGGCUCCGCUCAAGAGGCAUUUUUGCCUUUUGAUGGCAAAGGUCUCACAGGGGCGUACUGUGAUCAGUAGGCUUCUGCUAGUUGUAAGAAACAACUACCUUUAUACUGCGGAAUAUAAUAAUUUGUCA